UGUGGCCAGAAAAGGCCAAAUUAUAGCUUUGUUGAAAUCCAAUGGGCUUAAGAAAAGCCCACAUGUGGAAAUACAAGGAAGAUUAGUAGGCUCAAUACCAAAAGGAUGGAAGGUAUUGACUUGGAUAAGGCAAGUUAAUUUGGAUCCUAACAAUCAUGUGAACCCUAAAGAAUUUAAUCCUUCAAGAUGGGAUGUAAGUAUUCCAAGCAAUAGCUCCUUGAACUAAUUUUCUUUACAAAAACAACGAUAAUACGCCUUAGUCCCAAGCAAGUUGGAGUCGACUUGCAUUGAUAAUACCCUAAGAAGGAUGAUGACCAGGAUUAGCAGAGACAGAUUCAAGAUUUAAACUUGAUUGGUUCAACUUUUAAGUUUCUUAACAUGAAUGUUUUGUGUUGAAAAUACUAGGUUCAAGUUGAACCCCGUGGCUAAUAAGCUACAUCCGCCACGGAAGAUUUAGUGAUCAUGGUUAAAGGCUAAGGAAGUAACACAUUUGAUUCUUAGCAGGAUGAUGAGGUCAAGACAUAUAGCGCGUUUCUUCCCUUUGGAGCAGGACCUCGAUUGUGCCCCGGAGCAGAGUUGGCUAGGCUUGAAGUCUCAGUGUUUCUUCAUUACUUUCUUCUCAACUAUAGGCUCGAGCGUCUUAAUCCGAAAACAAGUGUGACAUAUCUACCAAUUCCUAGUCCUACUGAUAAUUGUCUUGCAAGACUCAAAAGGAUCUCAUCAUCAUGUUGAGACUUAUCAUGUUCUCGUUGUAUUUUCGAGCAGAUUUUAAACCUCUUCACUCAUUCCUGUUAUUCAAGUUAAGAAUUUCAUAUUACGCGGUCAAAUCUUUUGGUGUAUAGUCACACUUUCAGGCCAGAGUUAUGUUUCUCAUAUUCUUCAAAAAUGUCGACAGGUGCAUGUCAGAUCCUCCAAAAGUAGUGUACUUUUGGAAUAUCCGACAUGGGCUGCAGCAAUACUUUUGGAAACUCUGAGCAAUAUUAAAGUUAGUAUUAUCCUUUUACAUUGACUAUAUGUUUCACAGACUCUUCAAAAAUGUCGACUAGUGCAUGUCAGAUCCUUCAAAAGUAGUGUUAUUUUUAGAGAAUCUGGCACGGGUGCAGCAACAAAACAGACAAAAUUCUAUCUGUAGAUCAACUUUAACGUGGCGAAAAGUACUAGAAAGAAUUGGAAGAUUAAAAUAUCAUGAAAUCGAAAUACUCGAAUCAUAAUUCUACUGAGGCAAUGAAAAAAAAGAUGUUGUUAUUUAUUUUUGUGAAAUUUUAACAACUGACAAGAAAGUUUCAUUACAAUAUCUCAGCAAAUGUUAGUCUAAAAGGUGAAUUCAAAAUCACCUUCAAGUUUCAAUGAAUUUCCUCUUCAUCGCAUAAUUUCGUGUACUCUUUUGCCCCCAACAGAGAUUCGAGCUCUGAUGGAUUGCUCGGCUUCACUUUGAUCAUCCAUCCGUCUUCAUAAGGGCUCGAGUUGAUC